UGGGGAAUAUUGGACAAUGGGCGAAAGCCUGAUCCAGCCAUGCCGCGUGUGUGAAGAAGGUCUUCGGAUUGUAAAGCACUUUAAGUUGGGAGGAAGGGUUGUAGAUUAAUACUCUGCAAUUUUGACGUUACCGACAGAAUAAGCACCGGCUAACUCUGUGCCAGCAGCCGCGGUAAUACAGAGGGUGCAAGCGUUAAUCGGAAUUACUGGGCGUAAAGCGCGCGUAGGUGGUUUGUUAAGUUGGAUGUGAAAUCCCCGGGCUCAACCUGGGAACUGCAUUCAAAACUGACAAGCUAGAGUAUGGUAGAGGGUGGUGGAAUUUCCUGUGUAGCGGUGAAAUGCGUAGAUAUAGGAAGGAACACCAGUGGCGAAGGCGACCACCUGGACUGAUACUGACACUGAGGUGCGAAAGCGUGGGGAGCAAACAGGAUUAGAUACCCGCGUAGUCCCUGAGCGGGCUGGCAAGGCGCAU
rnacentral:rRNA from 1 species